rnacentral:rRNA from 1 species
GAUGAACGCUGGCGGCGUGCCUAAUACAUGCAAGUAGAACGCUGAAGCUUGGUGCUUGCACCGAGCGGAUGAGUUGCGAACGGGUGAGUAACGCGUAGGUAACCUGCCUCUUAGCGGGGGAUAACUAUUGGAAACGAUAGCUAAUACCGCAUAAAAGACGAUAUCGCAUGAUAUUGAUUUGAAAGGUGCAAUUGCAUCACUAAGAGAUGGACCUGCGUUGUAUUAGCUAGUUGGUGAGGUAACGGCUCACCAAGGCGACGAUACAUAGCCGACCUGAGAGGGUGAUCGGCCACACUGGGACUGAGACACGGCCCAGACUCCUACGGGAGGCAGCAGUAGGGAAUCUUCGGCAAUGGGGGCAACCCUGACCGAGCAACGCCGCGUGAGUGAAGAAGGUUUUCGGAUCGUAAAGCUCUGUUGUAAGAGAAGAACGAGUGUGAGAGUGGAAAGUUCACACUGUGACGGUAACUUACCAGAAAGGGACGGCUAACUACGUGCCAGCAGCCGCGGUAAUACGUAGGUCCCGAGCGUUAUCCGGAUUUAUUGGGCGUAAAGCGAGCGCAGGCGGUUAGAUAAGUCUGAAGUUAAAGGCUGUGGCUUAACCAUAGUACGCUUUGGAAACUGUUUAACUUGAGUGCAGAAGGGGAGAGUGGAAUUCCAUGUGUAGCGGUGAAAUGCGUAGAUAUAUGGAGGAACACCGGUGGCGAAAGCGGCUCUCUGGUCUGUAACUGACGCUGAGGCUCGAAAGCGUGGGGAGCAAACAGG